GGGUUGUAAAGCCCUUUUGUUGGGAAAGAAAUCCUGUCGGUUAAUACCCGGCGGGGAUGACGGUACCCAAAGAAUAAGCACCGGCUAACUUCGUGCCAGCAGCCGCGGUAAUACGAAGGGUGCAAGCGUUACUCGGAAUUACUGGGCGUAAAGCGUGUGUAGGUGGUUGCUUAAGUCUGCUGUGAAAGCCCUGGGCUCAACCUGGGAAUUGCAGUGGAUACUGGGCGACUAGAGUGCGGUAGAGGGUAGCGGAAUUUCCGGUGUAGCAGUGAAAUGCGUAAGAUCGGAAGGAACAUCUGUGGCGAAGGCGGCUACCUGGGCCAACACUGACACUGAGACACGAAAGCGUGGGGAGCAAACAGGAUUAGAUACCCUGGUAGUCCACGCCCUAAACGAUGCGAACUGGAUGUUGGGUUCAACUUGGAACCCAGUAUCGAAGCUAACGCGUUAAGUUCGCCGCCUGGGGAGUACGGUCGCAAGACUGAAACUAAAAGGAAUUGACGG
rnacentral:rRNA from 1 species